UAGGAGAUUGUCAGUAAAUAUUGCCAGAAUGAGUGAACGAAUGAAUGGCAUUUGAAUGUAUGUAAAGAUGAAAUCAUCUCUAACACAGUGAGAAUAAUAUUUUCCUUUUGGGGGUUUAUGAUAUCCUAGGCAAUUUAGAAACAUAAUUUCGUUUAAUUCUUACGAAUAUCCCAUGAGGUAGGUACUAUCAUCCUCAAUUUACAGAGGAGGGCUUGGCAAAGUCAGGAAACUUACUGGAGAUCACACGGUAAAAGGAAGAGCUGAGAUCUAAACCCAGGGCUGUCUGCCUCCACAGCCCACUCUGUCACCACCGAGGUGAUUGCUCUCCUGGCGCCCAGGAUCUCCUCUGUGAUGGGAGAAUACCACCUUGGAUUCACAUGUCACCUGAGAUUAAGGACCAUGGCUGCGGAGCAUCUGUUGUUUGCAGCCCAGCAUUUAUAGCCCCUCCUCUGAGCGACAGUUUAUCAGAUUUCCUGGGGGAAACCUCCCUCCCUGUUUCAGCCAGGUGAUUUGUGUGGGACUGACCAGUGCCCAGUUUCAGCUGUGGAGCCUAAACUAACCGGCACCCUCUGCCUCCAUUCUCCCAGUCACAGUGAUUGGCUCAGGGCUGACAUGUGACUUAGGCCAACUCAACCAGACUGAACCUUGGGGCUCUGGCUGGAAAUGAUGCAUCCUGGCCUUUCUCCCCUAGUGGACCUGUAGCCUCCUGGGAUACUGGAAGCCACCCAGGACCGGUGGGGUGAGGUUUAUGGUGGGAGAGCCUGACCAGCAAUGGAGCCAUUGAAGAAGAAAUGGGGAGAAAGUAACAGUCUCCUGGUCCCAAUUAUUUGAGCCCCUAGAUCAGCAUUGCCUGAAACCAGAGCUACCUGGAGACCUGUCAGUUAUGUGGACAAUAAAAAUCCACUUUAUAUUGAAGCCA